GUCUGCUUGAUCAAGUAUAGGCAGUCUCGCCUGCCCACUGGGUUUCUAAAGGGCCGCGGUAUCUUGACCGUGCUAAGGUAGCAUAGUCAUUAGUUCUUUAAUUGAGGACUGGAAUGAAAGGUUGGAUGAGAAGUUAGCUGUCUUUAAGACAAAUCUUGAAUUUUACUUCUGAGUGAAAAGGCUUAGAUAAGAUAAGGGGACGACAAGACCCUAUAAAACUUUACAGCUUAUCUUAGUAUCUGCCCAAUUAAAGGUGUAAAUGUAGUAUUAAGACAGCUGUUUUGCUGGGGCGGCAGGAAUAUAAAGAAUUAACUGUUUCUUUUUUAAAAAUAGGUUUAAUUAGUAAAUGUGAUCCUUUAAUGAGGAUUAAGAGAUUAAGUUACUUUAGGGAUAACAGCGUAAUCUCUCUUGAGAGCCCUGAUCGACAGAGUUAGUUGCGACCUCGAUGUUGAAUUAAGAUGUUACCUAGGUGCAGGAGUCUAGGCGGUGGGUCUGUUCGACCUUUAAAAUCUUACAUGAUUUGAGUUCAAACCGGUGUGAG
rnacentral:rRNA from 1 species